UUUAUUACAGGAGGCUUUUCUUUUAUAUACAGAGACAUGUAUUUGCAAAAUACUAAAAAGUAUUUCAACUCAAAGUACUAAAAAGUAUAUAUAUAUUUAUAUAUAUAUUCAUAUUAUAAUUAUAAUUGUAAAUAUUAUUGUCUCUAAAACACCAGGGUGGGGUCACUGAGGCACGGCUUUCGCCUCCUUUACACCGAGGUUUCACCGGCGAGUACCACUGAAGUCAGAGGAAAACCUUGUAACUUAUUAUUAUGUUUUUGGUUUUUGUGUUUUUAGAAAAUGACACAACUGUGAUGGACACCGUUCCAAUUUGGACUUUGAAAGUUGUGCUCAUUACAUUGCUAUUUCUUAAUUUCCGUAUUUAUCCAAGCCUUAAAUUUCAGGAGUUACAAGGUUUUGACCCUCCAGCUAUAAAGUUUAACGUUUUCCAGCAAAAGCACUAAAACUACUUGUAUUGUGAAACCUCUUAUCGUCAACUUAGUGAAGCAUAUUUUCCAACUUCUACUAUUUGUGGCCUCAUUUUAUCCCAAAGGUGACAAUAAGACAAAUGUUCCUGUUUUUCUCGUGUGGAAUAAAAGAGGAUUCGAAAGGUGUCAGGAAGGGAAAUAUUUAAACUCCCCCCCUUUCCUAAGAAAAAGGCAACUUUCUCAAGAUAUGAGGUUUCUUUGGGACUGAUAUGACACUGGAAAUCUGCAAACCAGUUCGCCACCCGCUGUGAAACCAGUGACGGUGUAAAUGGGACGACUGUGGUUUAAGCAGUGAGAAGAUGCCUGGAAAAACCAAACCCAUGACGGUGGGAAAAAUAAUAAUAAUUAAAAAAAAACCCAAAAGCAUCAUUUUUAUUAUCCUCAUACUGUAAAUAAGAUACAGCAUCACUCACUGCCUGUUUACACAACUGUUGUAUUGCAUUUAUCACACAGUUAAUAGAAUAGCAAUAAUAGAGAACAAUGAAACCUCUGGUUUUCUGUGCAUUUCCUCCAUGUGGGUGUUUGUCGUUUUGUUUCAAGGAUGAUGAAGCAGCUUUUGGUUUUCAAACAGGGGAAAGAAGGCAAGAAGGAGCAGAGACUCUCAGUCUGUGUUUUAAACACCCCCCCUCCCUUCAAAAAAAGGACUCUUCCAAACCCCUCAGUAGCACCACAUGGUCUGACCCACAGCUUGGAACAAAGAUGGUGUUUAAUUUGCUCAGACUUUGAACAGUUUAUCAUAUCAGAGCAGGAAAAGUCAUAAAACAGACAGAUUUUUUUCUGUCUUUCAUGUUGGAGGUUACUUAGAAGGCUUUGUUACUUUCCCUUGUACAGACUGUUCAGGGACAGAGAGCUGAAGCUGCUCUUUGUUUUGCUGCUGUAAUUGCUUCAUUGUUUGUUUCAGGUGAACAAACCUCUGAGCAGCCAACUGUCCCAGUGAUUGCACAAAUGCCGAAUAUCAGUUUGAAAGAGCCGGAUAUGUCAGGAUGAGGCUGCCAAGUAGUAUCCACCAAGUAAUAUCACCCUGCAGCUGUAGACUGGCAUUGUACAAACUACAACACUGUUAACAGGAUGCCUCCAGUAGCAAACCCUGGAGGUUUGAGCUUUCAAGAAGCUUCUCAAAGCAUUACAAAGUGGCUUUGUCUUAAAGCUGGGCCUCCUGUUUUACUCAUGAAUCCUGUUGUGUCCAUUUUAAUGAUCAUGUGGAAAGUUUUAAAUAAACUAUUUCUAAUUACCUUUGUAAACUUGAACUGAAAUGUCCAUCAUCAGUGGUAACAACUAGAGUAUGUUUCUUGUAAACUCUUGAGGCUUUGCCAUCCCCAGGCUGUCCUUGUAAAUACGAAUAUGCGUUGAGUGAUUCACCUGGUUAAAUAAAGGCUACACUGACUCAAUACAAAGACAGCUCAACUUUAUCAUAUCUCUCAAGCACAGUAUUGAUGUUUUACAUGAAUUCUGUUGAUAGCUUUAGGUAAUUUUGGAAGGAUUUAAACAAUCUUUGAAAACGGGAUUCAAGAGUUCAUGAGUUUGAAAUCUAAGUAGACUAAUGCCAAUAACUGAGCCUUUAAUUUGAUAACUGUUCUACAAAAGCCCUUUGCUGAUAUCUUUACUGACCUGGAAACACUCUGAAGAAAUUCUGUUUUUCUUUCUGGUCCUCUGAAAGGGUUCAAGCCAGCUCUAAAAGAAAAUCCCCUUCCUCUUUUAAAGUUCUAGUGAAGCUGUCUUUGUUCCAAAUUUGGUAGUGGGUGUACAGGUCGACUGGAAAUUUGAUCUAUGAGCUCAGUAAACGGUUUGCUUAUCCUUUAUGAUCACAGUUGCUAGUUUUAAGUCUUACAGAUUAAAACAUGAUCUUCAUUUUAUAAUUAAUAGUCCUGUUAGAAAAUCAGAGUUUGCUUUAGUAACAUAAUGUUUGCUGUCAGAGACAGCCAGGUUGCUACAGGAAAAUGUGCAUUCUUUUGCACUGAGUUCACCUAACAUCUCCAGGUGAACUCAAUUUCAAAGAGGUAUACGCUGCUGGACUGAAAACUUUACUGCGAUUGCUUUGGUUGCUAGAAGAUGGCCAUGAGUUCCCAGUCUUGGUUUCAUUACUGCUCGUGAGUAGCUUGCAAGGGUUAGUGGACAUAUUGACGUAUUCCAUGCAAAAUAUGAGCAAUCUGCUAGCAACCAAAGCAAUCACAGGGUGCGGCAACUUUCAAGUUUCCUGAUGAAUUUAUUCUCUCAGUCGCUUAUUGAACAAAACAUGGUGUUCAUUUAGAAAAUUAUGGCUCUAUUAGAGUGAAACAGACAGAUCAGCAUACAGAUUGGCGAGGGCCUAAUCCUGCUUGCCUGCAUCAUGACAUUUCAAAAACCUAAGAUGGACAAGCCUUCCUGCUUGAAACUUGAAAAAUGAGACUUGGCAAGCCAGUAAGGGAUUUCAUGGCAGCUAUGUUCAUGUUUUAUAUGCAGUUUAUGGGAAUUAAACAGCUGGAUGUUUUCUUAUUCAGCUGUCUCCAUUUUAACAUCUCAGUAUGGAAUUACAUGCCAGCAUGUGCUCUCCUGACAAAACUGCACCUUUUUCCUGCAGACGUUAGUGAAUCUGGACCUUUUUGACAGUUUAAAAGUGACGUCAGCCUGUUAGCUCUCUGUGCUGUUUGUUCGAUAAAGUUAUGAGGAAGAGUCACAGCGGUGAUGGAGGGGAGGGGACUGUGGAGACUGUGUUAAUGAUCAAAAACCAUAAGAAUCAAUUCAUCAACCAACCAAACAUGGAACCAGUCAAGAAAUCAGAAAAAUCAACUGGCUCAUCAAUCAAUCAAGCAUAUUAUCAGUCAACCAAUGGUAAAGCAUGGCUUGGAGUGUUGGGGUUCAUGUGUAGCAGGCACACUCUGGGUCUAUUGCUACUGAAAACAGCCCUUCAGCACAACUGCAACCUGAAAUACGCCUCGCAGCAGAGUUCAGCAGUGUAUUAAUAUUUACCUAGUUUAUAUCGUUAUCUAUUCUCAAUAGAAUCUAGUAGAAAUAGAGUCCAGACGGUGCCAGUAAAAUUGUUUUUUUUUUAAACUUUUUUCCUUUUUAAAAUUAGUCUAGUAAAGCAUUUAGUAAAGAUCCCUCGGGUGACCACAACGACAGAGACAGAGAGAGGUUGUUUGAAAUAUUGAAGCAGACUGAACAAAUGCUGUACACUUUGACACUUCGUCUUAAUAAAAACAAGCGGUAACGCUGCUUCACGUCGGCUUUGUGCCACUGUAUGGACCCGUGUGACUAUAAAUCCACAGUAACGCCGUCAGUGCUGCAUCCGGCUAAUCAGAUUCCACCAAAUGCUCAAAGUGUUAGCGUGGGAUUUUUCCCUUUAAUCCACAGACACAUACAGUGAGAAAAAGCGUCUGUAAAGUCAUGUGUUACCCAAGAAUUCACUUAGAAGGUAUCUGCAAACCGUUAUUGCUCGACGCGGUUUGUGUUUGUUUUGUUAGGUUUUUUUUGUUUCUCUGUGCAAAAUAGAUAAAGAGCCGUCUCGCUCGACCUCCUCUCCUCCUCCAGCCAGAACGUGCAAAAAUAAUUAUCAUAAAAAAGAUAAAUAAAAUAAAAAUAAAGCAAUUGACCUGAAAAUCUUCCAAAAAAGGUCAAUGAAUAAAUAAAUAAAUAAAUAAACGAAGCUGUGUUUUGGUUUUGAAGAGUUGAUUUUUCAAUCAUUGGGGGAAAAAAAUGACAUCUGAUAUUUUCAGUAAAAACAAAACCUAUAAAUUAUCUCCACAUAGGAGUCAGAAUUCACCAGUUUAUCUCCUCACAUUGAAAUGAAACGCUUCAGAUCAUUUGGAGAAAAAAUGAAGCAGAAAAGCUUUCAGUGUCCUGGAUAAACCUGAAAUGUAUCAUCUUUGAACAACUGGGAUAAAAAAAUGAAAGAUGUUAUUUUGUGGAUUAUGGAUAAAUCUGAAGUUGUAAAUAGUUCAUAUAUUUUGGCAGCUGAACUUCCAGCACCAUAGAGAGCUCUUUGGUCUUCCAGUUCUAUAGGGGCCGCUGUUGAGCUCAUCCAGAGUGAAUUGGACAGUAGAACAAAAAUGGAAAUUUUUCAAGGAAAAAAUGUUCUUCCUGAAGUUUCCAUGUUUUUUCGAUAGAAGGGCUCAAGACAAUGAGUGCAGUUUGAUUUUUCUUCUUUUUUCUUUUUUUACAGGUUUCUAUUGUAGUAGAAUCUCUCUCUCUGUGAUUAUUAGAGAUUCAUGACUUCACGACAUGGGAACCUCUGACGGGGUUUCUGCAGCCAUGGCGGGAGGACAUUCCAUCCCAAUUGCUUAACCAAAUAAUCAGCACCCAUUAUCAGCAUGCUAGUGUUUCAUGUGUAAAACCAGCUUCACUGUGAGAAAAACCGAACAUAAGUGUUGUUUUGUUGAAUUUCAGACACUCUGUUGAUGCUGGAUUUAUGAAAAGUAAUAUAGAUGUUUUUAAUUGGAAGCAGGUGGAAGUCAUUAACUUAGCUGUUUAGCUCCAUUCACCCCUUUUCACUAAAGACAGUCUUGCCAGCGCCCCCUUCUGGAUCUCUGACUGAAUUGCAACCAAAUUCCAAUAAAAUUUGAUUAAUGGGAAGCAAAAUGUCUGUGAAUUACUGAGCCUCAUUUACAUGAAAUGUAUCUCUGCAGGGAGGCGUGCAACCUCUUGUGUUAUUCAUUGACAGUACCAAGAGUACUCAUACUUCUGUCACACUGACAGCUAGUCAGGAAACAAAAUACUAAAAUUUAGGCAAAGUAACAGAGUUUCAGUGCCUUUUGUGCAGUCUCUGGUUUCUUCAGCAUUGUCAUAUUGCUGUUGAAUUUUCAAGAUAAGGUUGUUCCAGGACACUGAUGACGGUCAAACACGAGAGUCAACGUGACCUUUUUAGCUUUUCGUGAAACCAAAUGGGGAGAAAUCCUGAUGCAGAUGUGCUGAGCUGAUUGUCGCUCUGUUGUCAGAGCUGGCUGACACCACCAGGACCUUAAAGCCUGGUUGUGCCAAGCCGAACUCAGACCAGACGGAUGCUGAAUGACAGCGGGUGAUUUGUCAUAAAAGUUGACAAUGUUCAGUUUGUACAGAGACAUCAAAUGCCCUCAGGAAAAGAAGAGAAAAAAGAGAAAGGAGGCAUUCAUGGCAUUAAAAGAGCCUAACAGGUGUCCUGCAUGAAUAUCAGUGUUCUGCGCUUGUUAUUGCUGUCUUACUUCCUUUUGAAUUGAUCUUUUGCUUCUGACCUGUGGUCAUUUUUGUAGUUUUUUUUGUUUACCUCUUUGUUCUGAUGUUUUUAUUUUGCUUUUUGAUUCUUUCUAUGAAGCGCUUUGUAACAUUGUUAGGAAAAAGCUAUAUAAAAUCUACAA